UUUACUAAAUUGGGUUUACUCUUAGGUGAAUCAUGAAUUUUGCGAAAGAAUGCAUCCAGCUUCCCUCAUAUUAAACCCUAGAUUCUCAGGCUGAAACAACACAAAUAUGUGUUAUAGCUUCACUUUAAUAAAGUCUGAUGCAUGCAUUGAAUCUAUAAAUACAGUAAACCAAUUGGAAAAUCAUGGCAUAUGAGCUUUAAUUCAUGCAAUAAGUUACUCAUGAGUCAUGAAAAGGCGUUCAUAGAAAACACUGAACCUGGUUCUACAAUUUAUAGAAAAAGUAGUUUAAGAAACAAAACUUUUAAGUAAUAGUUGUUUUAGAAAAACAGUUGUUCAUUGUAGUUGUAGAUUUUCUAGCUAGAAUUUUACCCAGUUAAAGAACUCAAGUAGGUAGUUGUAGAUUUUCUAGGUAGAAUUUUUCCCAGUUAAAGAACUAAUUUUUCCCAGUUAAAGAACUCAAGUAGGAAAAAAUAUGUGGCCUGGGUUUCAGUCAACUAAACAACUAGAACUUCAACCUAUAAUGACAUGGAAGUGAACAAAGAAAUAGAGAAACUGUUUAGGAACUGAUUUAUUUUUAAUCAUAAAAAAGAAGAUGUGCUAAUAAGUUAUAGAGGACAAAUGACAAAACUAACCAUUGACUAUCACCUAGGUAGGUUUAAAGUGCACGCAUAAUGCGUGACGCUCACUAUGCGGUGACAAAAACACAUCAACCCAUCAAGUGAAGUGAUUUAUUGAGAUUAUGUGAAUGUGCACAGUAUGAGGUUGUGCCGUUUCGACGCGAACCAUUUCGACCUGUACCAUUUCGAAUCGAACCGUUCCGACACGAAUCGUUUUAGCCUGUACCGUUUCGAAUCGAACCGUUUUGGUGUGAGUUACCAACAGUCAAUGCUUCUCUUUAUUUUUUUGUGAAAUGUCCUCAUUUGCAACCUUUGUAUUAAUGUGGUUAAGGUAAUGAUCAGUGGGUUUAAAAGUGCAACCUAGCGACACCAGUGGAGAAACCACCACAGGUAAACGAAUGGUAGUUGUGUAUCAAGCAGCAGACGCGACAACUUUUAGGGUUCAUGGGGUCUGUGAUGGUGUCGAUCUUGCGAUAAACGUUCCCGACAGUUUAGCAGAGUUCAGGUGCGUUUAUUUUGCCUUUCCGAUUUCUGCCUUUGCCUUUUAUGCACUUCUUAGUUUUUCAAGUGUUACAUUUUGCUUCCGAUAGGUGUGGGCAUAGGUCGGGAAAGUAGGACUGUAUGAGGAAUAGGGUGGGGAUGAUGAGGAAAAUGGUGGUGAGGAGGUGUUUGUGAAUGUUAAUUAUGUGUCGUUAGUGGAAAACGGGGCUGAUGAAAGGGUGUUGGGUGAUGGAGUUGUGCUUCUGGAUGAAGGCAGGAAGAAAGGGAAAAAUAGAAGAUAAAGAAAACGAGUUACUUUAGUGACGAGAGCGACAAGGAUGAACGAUUUAGAGAUAAGCCAUAAACAGAGCUUAUUUAUACAAAUUACGGGUGGCAUCACAAUUUGAUAUAUUCCGUCUUGCGGGAAGCUGCUGGCGAAGUGGUUAGAGAGUCGUGAAGUGGGAAAAAGACAUUUCAGAACAGAGCAAUUUGCUUCUAUUUUGUGUGAAACUAUGUUGUUUCUAAUUCGUAAGUUGAGCAAUUGGUAAGCCCCAGCCGCAACGCGGCAGGGGUUAAUC